rnacentral:tRNA from 1 species
UCCCUGGUGAUCCACUGGUUAAAAUUCAGUACUUUCACUGCUGUGGCCUGGGUUCAAUCCCUGGUCGGGGAA